UCAUUAUCCCAUUCGCUGUCCCCGCUGUCAAUCAUCGUUAACCUGGUCCCGCCCCCACCAAUCACAUCCCUCCUCUGGAAGAUAAAAGCUGUGUGGCUGCUGCUGCUCGUUGUCUCUCUGUCAUUGAUCUCUGUUUGUUUUUGCUGUGUGGUUGGGUAUGUGUGGUGAGAUUCAGAGACCUGUGUGUGUACGUGUAAACAUUUCCCCUGCUUGUGUAUGUGUGGUUGUCUGUGUGUGGUUCAGGCCCUGGGGCAGAGCGGACCAGCAGACGGUGCAUGGGUGAUGGUGAGAAGUUUUUUUGGUGAGAAGUGCUAUCUCUUCUCCAUCGAUCCGCAGGACUGGAGGACAAGUCAGAGCCCCAGCAUGUCUGUCAGUAGCCACCGUGUGGUAGUCAAGAGUGAGGCGGAACAGGCGUACCCGUGGGAGAAGGCCGAAGCCUGGAGCCGGGGGGACUCCUACUGGCGCUGCCUGCUUGACUCCACCCACGAGGGGCUGACGGCGUACAGUAAGAGCGGACACCUCAGACGCUUUCACAAGGGGGAGAUGCUCCAGUUUCAUCAUCGCAUUACAACUUAAACAAAUCCUAAAUGAUAUCUAUUGUUGUGUUCAUAUAGCCUUAGAACAUCGGUGUGAUCUUUGAUACUUAAUAAUUCCAUGUUUAAUUUUGACAAUCAAAUUAAGCAUGUAUAAAUCUAAUCUAAAUGUAUAAAACAUGCAUGGAUAUGCAUCUGAUGUAGUUUCUCCCAAGGCGAAGAUAGGAUUUCAGAGUCAAGGCCUCUUAUACCAUCUGCACACAAGUCCAUUAUGAACCAGGACUAUAACCACAGGAGGCUAAUUACAAAGUCUUUCCACCACAAGAUGCAUGAAGAUGCGUGAUGAUGCAGAGGAUAGAUGGGAAGUUCCUGCAGUUGCCAAGCCCAUGCAGCCGCCACUCUAGAAACAGUGAAAGAAAUGCCCUCCCACUUUUUAAAAUGUAAAAUGUACAAAAAAAUAUGAAAGCUAUGCUAUAUCAUUUAUUAGGCAGGCUUGGGACAGACCAAAUAAAAGACUGUCAGUAUUGCCGGUCUUGAUGGACUACAAAUAGCUAUAAGCAAUAAUUGUUUCCGAAAAAUCAGGCUGGUUUGAGUCCCUGGGAACAGUAAAAUUUUAUUGUCAUCAGUUUAAAGGUGGCAGUGCAGUAUAAAGGGCAAGGAACUGGGCUAAUAUUCUUAGUUUCAGGCUUGAUUGCCGAGUAGAACACUGCUGCUGGGCCAGCAAUGUAAACCUGAACUUUUUCAGUACAUAGAAUGACUGUAAUAUAUACGUCCAGUUGUAUAAAUACAAAAUAUGUUUAUAUAUAUAUGUAUGUAUAUACACACACACAUAAACGCUCAAUAAGAGUGCAUUACAUUACUUGCAUGUAGUAGACAAUGUAAAUGCAGCCAAAAGUGAUGCUGCUGUUUUCUGCUGUUUGAUUAUUAUUGGAUAUUUUCAACUCGGACUUUAUUAUAAUCAUAGAGGGCAAUUGAUGUGUGUGUAAGAUCAAAUACAAUCUUCAUCGAACUCAUUGUAGUAAGGCUAGACUGUCCAAGAUCUACCCUAAUGUAAAUGAAAUAUGCGAUUGUUGUCACACAGAAAAAGCAGACCUAACCCACAUGUUCCGGUCUUGUAAUAGGCUGAACAACUUCUGGACUACUGUAUUCCGGACUUUAUCUGAAGCAUUUGAAAAAGAUAUUCAACCCAGUUGUGUUUGCCUUUGCUACUCUCCUUGCCCAGAGAAGGAUUUUGUUGGAGUGGAAAUCGGUACAUCCACCCAAAGCUUCGGCUUGGAUGAAUGACCUGAUGCUAUUCCUUAAGUUAGAAAAGAUAAAAUAUUCUAUUAGAGGGUCAACUCAAAAAUUCCAUACAACAUGUGAUCCUUUAGUAUUCUAUUUCAAUAGGCUUAACACUCUACCCCAAAAUUAAACUGGAGCUAUAACUCUAUCCUUCAUGAUUGAUCCUCCCUGUGAGCUGCUCGAGGAGUGUGAAAUGUUAAUUUGUGUGUACAUGUACAUUUUGUUUUAUUUUAUUUUUACGUGUAUUUAUUUUAUUUUACCAUUUCAUUUGGUAUUAUCAUUCCCUGUAUAGAUAGUUUAUGUUUUGUAUAGGUA